rnacentral:lncRNA from 1 species
CACAAGCAUUCCUAGCAGGUGCAGCAGGAGUUUGGAGGAGGAAUAGGCCCUUUCCUGGUCUUUCUACACUUGCCAAGUCUCCAAAUUGGCCUUUCAGCCUUUGCCUCCUGAGUCCUGCGAUGACAGACCUACACCACCACACCCAGCUCAACAUCACUCUCUCAAGGAGUUAAACAGAACAGCCUGGGAGGGUGUGGCAGGACCAGAAGAUAAGGAGCACGACUACAACACGACAUCUCCGGGCUCCCGCUGUGAAAUCUGUUUCGGGUCUGGACUAGGAUAUCGGGAAUUUCUAGAGAGCGGAGCAAAGGCCACAGUAGUUGCAGUAAUCUAUCACCGACCUCUGCUUGUCUACCUUCCCACACCCCGUGGACCACUGUUUCACAAAAUGUGAACUUGGGAAUCUCAGAGUACAAAACUUUUGCAACUUCCUGUGCGUCUAUGAGUCUAUUCAAAAUUAAAAGUGUUUUAAAAUCAGGGCUGUCGAGAAUGAAACCACACACCAGUCCCACGUGAAUUCCCCCAUUCUGCGACCCCAAGGUGGGGGAGACCUCCCGCCCGUCUACUUCCUGUCCCCAGGAACAAGCCAGACCUCUGUCCAGUGUCCAGUUUAUUUCUCAGAGCAUGACAAUGCCCAGGUUUGGCUAAGCGGCUAGGAUCUCAAAAAGUGUCAUGGACCAACAUUUCAUGUCAGGGGGUCAGACAUUCUGCUUGGAGGACUGGGUCUGUUAAACCUCAGCAGAACUGUGAGGAGGACGAGCAGUGGAGAACUGGUUUUAACCCUGAAAAAGAACAACCAAAGUGAGCAUUUCAGGCCAGGUGUGAUGGCGCACACCUAUAUUACCAGCACUGGGAGGCUGAGGCAGGACGACUGCAGGGAGCUGGACACCAACCUGAGCUCCACAGUGAGUUCACAGCCAGCCUGGACUGCAUACAGAGAGC